GAUCCUGGCUCAGGAUGAACGCUAGCUACAGGCUUAACACAUGCAAGUCGAGGGGGCAGCAUGGUCUUAGCUUGCUAAGACUGAUGGCGACCGGCGCACGGGUGAGUAACACGUAUCCAACCUGCCGUCGUACUCUUGGACAGCUUUCUGAAAGGAAGAUUAAUACAAGAUGGCAGUCAUGAGUCCGCAUGUUCACAUGAUUAAAGGUAUUCCGGUAGACGAUGGGGA
rnacentral:rRNA from 1 species